rnacentral:rRNA from 1 species
CCUACGGGAGGCAGCAGUGAGGAAUAUUGGUCAAUGGGCGGAAGCCUGAACCAGCCAAGUAGCGUGCAGGAUGACGGCCCUACGGGUUGUAAACUGCUUUUAUACGGGAAUAACGCGCCUUACGUGUAGGUCUUUGCAUGUACCGUAUGAAUAAGGACCGGCUAAUUCCGUGCCAGCAGCCGCGGUAAUACGGAAGGUCCGGGCGUUAUCCGGAUUUAUUGGGUUUAAAGGGGGCGUAGGCCGGAUGUUAAGCGUGCUGGGAAAUGUCCGGGCUCAACCCGGGCCUUGGAGCGCGUAAUGGCGUGCCUGAGGCCGCGGAAAGCAGGGGGAAGUCGGCGGG